GUACAGUAUCCCUUUUUGUAACAAACUCUAAAAUUUGCCCUACAAAUUCGUAUUGAGCAAAAACCGUUCGUUUACAUCGGUGAUCUUUUCUGGCUUUUUUGAGCGACCGAGCCUGAAGUCUGUCGAUAGACAGGAGAUUGACGGAGCUGGAGUUUCCUGGCUUGACCGAGAGGGACAAGACGGAGCCGAGCCAGGUGCUGUAACGGCGGUGGCGAGUGGACCUUCAUAUAGUGUGCUCAGAAUUAACCAAUCAAUUUCCAAUCAAUAUAUGACAACCACAGGUAUUAAAGAUUUGAAAACCU
rnacentral:lncRNA from 1 species